AUGUUGUGCCAUGCGGUCGGUUUAAUUCCCUUUACUGGCUUUAGGCUAGUUAUGGCAUCUCCAGGGUAUUUUGGUGACGGUCCUCCGAUGCGCGAGCGUGACCCGUACUUCACUGAGGUCAUCAGCCAGAGGAUGCGCGUGCCUGAGCGGCUGAGGUUCGGUCCAGCGCCUCACGCGCACUCACCUGCAGACCAAAGACACGAAGAGCUCCCUGCUGCUUACAGCAUGCACAUCCCAGACAGACUGGCCUUAACAGAUGCUCCUGAUCUGAGUCCACGACCUCUCUUCACUAAGCACACUUCAUCAGUGUGGGACCUGCAGCAUGGGUCCUGGGACAGGGAGGCCUUCAUGAGGGAGCCUGUCCAGAGUCCACUGCGAAGGUCUUACAGCGACCAGGCCUUUGGUCGAACCCCACCUGGAACCCCCACACACUCCAGACAAACACUGCACUCCCAGUCUCCCCGCAGUAUUGGACGUCCACCUGUCGUGCAUACAGACCCGUCCCCACCAAAGCCCCCAGGACUUCCCUCCAUCCCACCCAACCUGCUGUCCCCACAGAGCAUGCUGCAGGCCGCCAAGGAGCUGGGCCAGCAGGCAUCUCAGAAACUCCUCCAGACCGUCACCACAAAAUACUCCUCCAGGUUUGGUUACCCAGAAACCCUUCCCUCUCAGGCUGUGGAGGUUCAACCUGAUCAAAGCAGGACAAGUGCCUCGCAGGAGUUCUGGCUCAGUCCUGAAGAGGACCCAGGUACUGCUGUCGAGUUCAUGGUGCUCCGCAGACAGGUGCUGAAGAUGAGCAGGAGGAUAGCAGGGCUGGAGAGACAGAACGCAGAGCACAGACAGACCGAGCUGCUGCUGUUCUCUCUGUUACUGUCUGCCUGUCUGAUCAACGGCUGGCUGUGGAUGCGCAGAUGACGGCUCACACUAUACAGACAGCACUAUAAGAGCAGCAGCGCUGUACAUCACUGCACAUUUUUCUAUAGAGAUUUACUCAAUUCGUUCUCAUAAAAAUGAUGGUCAGUGGAUGGUUUAGAAACCACUGUCAUUAGAAUGAGGCGUUAAUCUCUGAACCUUCCACUCAGAUGUGUCACGUGAUCACAGUAGGGACAUGGGCCACUUUGCAUUACAAGUGAUUUGAGCAUGUUUUUCACUGAUGAUGUCAUUCAGUAAUGCAGUCCCUCUGGCUCUUUUGAUCAGACUAGUAGCUAGUUUUUUGUAUUUGAUUUAUUCUGCAGAUUAAGUAAAUGCUGAGAUUUUCUGCAUGCUUUAGCAGUAUUUAUGAAAAUAUAAAUAUGAAUGUUUAUAUGUAUAUUUCAAUUUUUUCUUGCAGUUAGGCAUUCGAAUAGCCUUCAUCCUUUUUAACUCAUUUCCCCAGCCUGAUGUAUGCUGAAUAUUUAAAAUAAUAAGUUGUAAUUAGUCUCAGAUGUCUUGUUCUCUCAAUGUCAACAUUAAUUUAGCAAAAUUUGCAUUCAUAUGAUGCCUGACAAAGAACCACUAAACACUGCAAAUGGAUCAGUUUAUUAAAAAAUUAAAUUAACCAAGGAAAAAGUUAUUGAAACGCUUUAGACGAUAAACCAAAAAAAAAAAACGCAAAGCCUUAUAUAAAAUCUGCAUGCGAUAAGAGAGUGAAUAAUGAACAGGAAUACAAUUUAAUUCAAAUCAAUCAUCAUUGUACAGUAAUAACAUUGUCAAGCAGCAACUAGAGUGACAUUUUGUAAUGAAACAAAUACUAGUGAAAUAAAAAAAAUGUAAAAUGCCCA
ensembl:lncRNA